AGAGUUUGAUCCUGGCUCAGGAUGAACGCUAGCGGCAGGCUUAACACAUGCAAGUCGAGGGGUAGAGUGGGCUUGCUCACUUGAGACCGGCAAACGGGUGCGGAACACGUACACAACCUACCCUUGUCUGGGGAAUAGCCUUCGGAAACGGAGAUUAAUACCCCAUAGUAUACCGGAGUGGCAUCACUUUGAUAUUAAAGAUUCAUCGGACAGGGAUGGGUGUGCGUAAGAUUAGGUAGUUGGUGCGGUAACGGCGCACCAAGCCCACGAUCUUUAGCUGAUGUGAGAGCAUGAUCAGCCACACGGGCACUGAGACACGGGCCCGACUCCUACGGGAGGCAGCAGUGAGGAAUAUUGGUCAAUGGACGCAAGUCUGAACCAGCCAUGCCGCGUGAAGGAUGAAGGCGUUCUGCGUUGUAAACUUCUUUUACCGGGGAAGAAACCACCUUUUUCUAAGGGUGUUGACGGUACCCGGGGAAUAAGCACCGGCUAACUCCGUGCCAGCAGCCGCGGUAAUACGGAGGGUGCAAGCGUUAUCCGGAUUUACUGGGUUUAAAGGGUGUGUAGGCGGGCCCUUAAGUCCGGGGUGAAAUCCCGAAGCUCAACUUCGGAACUGCCCUGGAUACUAUAGGCCUUGAAUUAUGUUGAGGUAGGCGGAAUAUAACAUGUAGCGGUGAAAUGCAUAGAUAUGUUAUAGAACACCGAUUGCGAAGGCAGCUUGCUAAGCAUAUAUUGACGCUGAGGCACGAAAGCGUGGGGAUCAAACAGGAUUAGAUACCCUAGUAGUCC
rnacentral:rRNA from 1 species